UACGGGGGGGGCAAGCGUUGUUCGGAAUUACUGGGCGUAAAGGGCGCGUAGGCGGCCUUCUAAGUCGGACGUGAAAUCCCGAGGCUUAACCUCGGAACUGCGUCUGAAACUACUCGACUAGAGUAUUGGAGAGGGUAACGGAAUUCACGGUGUAGCAGUGAAAUGCGUAGAUAUCGUGGGGAACACCAGAGGCGAAGGCGGUUACCUGGACAAUUACUGACGCUCAGGCACGAAAGCAUGGGGAGCAAAAGGG
rnacentral:rRNA from 1 species